rnacentral:rRNA from 1 species
CCUACGGGAGGCAGCAGUGGGGGAUAUUGCACAAUGGGGGGAACCCUGAUGCAGCGACGCCGCGUGGGUGAAGGAGCGUUUCGGCGCGUAAAGCCCUAUCGGCAGGGAAGAAGAUGACGGUACCUGACCAAGAAGCCACGGCUAACUACGUGCCAGCAGCCGCGGUAAUACGUAGGGGGCAAGCGUUAUCCGGCUUUACUGGGUGUAAAGGGGGCGCAGACGGCAAUGCAAGGCAGGAGGGAAAGCCCGGGGCCCCACCCCCGGACCGGCCUUGGGACCGCCAGGCUGGAGUUAAGGUGGGGGCGGCGGAAAUUCCUGUGGAGGCGGUGAAUG